rnacentral:lncRNA from 1 species
CUGGAGAAGAAGAACUUUUGUUCAGAAUUAUAUCUUUCACCUCACAUUUCACGGUAUAGGCUCUAUUAGCAGAUCUAAUAAUGUGAAGCGCAAAGAUAAUGGAAUGCUGAUUUAUCAUCACAUUGCUUUCGUUUUGGUUUUGUUUACCACCUUUCGAUGAUGGGUUUGUGCUUUUCUGUCUCUCUCUCUGUCUCUGGAGAAGAAGAACUUUUGUUCAGAAUUAUAUCUUUCACCUCACAUUUCACGGUAUAGGCUCUAUUAGCAGAUCUAAUAAUGUGAAGCGCAAAGAUAAUGGAAUGCUGAUUUAUCAUCACAUUGCUUUCGUUUUGGUUUUGUUUACCACCUUUCGAUGAUGGGUUUGUGCUUUUCUUUUUGUUUAUUCGUUUAGGAGGACGAUUUGAUUUGAUUGGUCUGAAGAUGGAUUCCGCAGCCAUGACUUUUUGCAGUAAAUCUAUAUGCUCACCUCC